CUCCUGCUGAUUGUUAACACUGAGUUUUCCAAAGCCCGAGGGGUCAGACGACUUGAUAUCAGAUUAAACAGUAAUGCAGAGGGAAUUUCUUCACAGACAGCUGCACCAUAGACCCUGAAAGUGACAUCAGGAAUAUCUUCUCCGCAAGUUACAGUGAGCAUCUGGGUUAAAACUGAUCAACAGCACAAGGAAAAUAUGUGCGAAAGUCUGAGAUGCAUAUUCCCACAUAGCUGUCCAGAACACAGCAGGUAACCGUUUGAAUGAAGGUUCCCAGCCCGAGCUGUCGACUGGUUGCUGAGUUCCUCCAACAUUCUCUGUGUGUUUGCUUCUGUUUGUUUAUUGAUUAAAAUAAU